UAUGUGAAUACCUUUAGGAACGCGUUGUUGAAUUACGUUGAUUGACGAGGUAUAUGUGGUAUAUACACGUGCGUUGAAAAAGCAUUUCGAAUAAAAUGAAAAUUAAAAGGAUCAAGAAGUUAAAACGCAAGAAGAAGUAUAAUCCAAACGUGAGUCGAAAGAGGAUGCGAAAUAAGUUACGGAAACUGCCGAAUAUUCCAUGUGAUCAGAUAAAGGAAGAAUGGACGAAUAAGAAAUCUACUCGUGCCAAUUUGAGAGAUAUGGGUUUAGCAUACGACGCGAACGAGUCGGUGCAAAUUCCUAAUGUUAACCGCGAAAUGUUAGAGGAAGCCAAGAAAAAGGUUACAGAAAAUGAGGAUUUGUCGGAUCACGAGAAGGACAAAGAAAUGAGUGUGACUGCGAGAAAAGGUUAUGUGGCGGAGAAGCUAGAAGCCGAGGCAAAAGCUCCUCGAGAACGACUUCUUAGAUUACCAAAUGGACAAGUGCAGUUUUUGACUUAUUUAAUACAGAAAUAUGGUGAAGAUUAUGAGGCAAUGUCAAGGGAUAAGAAAAAUCACGAUCAAUUAACGUGGAAACAAAUACGAGCCAAGGUGAAAAUGUUUAAGGGAAUUCCAGAACAAUAUAACAAAUUUAUUGAAAGUAGCAAUGUGGAGUUAGAGUCUAGUUCCUAACAUGCAUAAAUAUACAUUUAGGAUUUUAUUUCUAUUUUUGGAACGUGAUAUAUGUGUAAACGACGCUCCUUCAUUCAUCGGAGCGUGCUGCUCUCACUUAAAAAAAAUUAUGUCCCAAAGAAGCUUGAGAGUCAGCCAAUUGGCAGUGGGACAAGGCGCCGUCUUGACUUAGUAUUAACAGCUGCGUCUGUUCGAGUGUUAGUUGCAUGAUAAAACUCAAUUGUUGAAUGUCGCGCGGCGAAGAAACGCGAUGUGACAUGUUACGCGAAAGCUCAAAAGCUCUCUCAUGAUAGCAAAGCGGAACUGUGGAUGCAAUCGAUAUAGGCGGUGUAUUUGCCAAGACUUAGCCAAGAUCGAUAAGUUGAAUAACAGGAAACAUGCAAUGCACGAUUUAUAAAUGUCACGUGGUAACGUGACGUAUAGCAAUUUACACUAAUGAUCGAAAAUAAUCCGAACAAGGACACCUAUAUAUAAUUAUAUUUUUGUCACGCAAUACAUCCGGUUUUUUUUCGUCAAUUGUUAUGUUCAGGGACGAUACACAGAUCGGUAUUAAAUUCUUUUAUAUCUUUAUAAAUGAUCAGUCUCGUUUGAAAACUUAUGAAGCGUCAAACUUGUUACGUGUCUUUGAUUGUUAAAUUUGGAAGGUCUUUUGCUUGUGGAAUUCUCAUUCCCAAAUUAGAUCACGAUUACAAACAGGAUGUUCGUUCUCGAAUUAUUGAUAAAGUGAUAGCUAUCUUAGUUAUGCGAUUAAAAUUACACCAUUGUACAAACAUCAUAUGAUCGAUGACGUCAUAAAGAUAUGUAGUACUCUUGUAUUUUAAUUCAGUCGUAUGUCUUCUGCCAAUACGAAAUAUUGUAUUAAAAGUUAUUCAACACAAUUUUUUUAGAAAGAAAGAAAAAAA